rnacentral:rRNA from 1 species
AGAGUUUGAUCAUGGCUCAGGACGAACGCUGGCGGCGUGCUUAACACAUGCAAGUCGAACGAUGAUCCGGUUUCGGCCGGUGAUUAGUGGCGAACGGGUGAGUAACACGUGGGUAAUCUGCCCUGCACUCUGGGAUAAGCCUGGGAAACUGGGUCUAAUACCGGAUAUGACCUUCGGUCGCAUGAUCGUUGGUGGAAAGCUUUUGCGGUGUGGGAUGGGCCCGCGGCCUAUCAGCUUGUUGGUGGGGUGAUGGCCUACCAAGGCGACGACGGGUAGCCGGCCUGAGAGGGUGACCGGCCACACUGGGACUGAGACACGGCCCAGACUCCUACGGGAGGCAGCAGUGGGGAAUAUUGCACAAUGGGCGCAAGCCUGAUGCAGCGACGCCGCGUGAGGGAUGACGGCCUUCGGGUUGUAAACCUCUUUCAGUACCAACGAAGCGCGAGUGACGGUAGGUACAGAAGAAGCACCGGCCAACUACGUGCCAGCAGCCGCGGUAAUACGUAGGGUGCGAGCGUUGUCCGGAAUUACUGGGCGUAAAGAGCUCGUAGGCGGUUUGUCGCGUCGUCUGUGAAAACCCGCAGCUCAACUGCGGGCUUGCAGGCGAUACGGGCAGACUUGAGUACUGCAGGGGAGACUGGAAUUCCUGGUGUAGCGGUGAAAUGCGCAGAUAUCAGGAGGAACACCGGUGGCGAAGGCGGGUCUCUGGGCAGUAACUGACGCUGAGGAGCGAAAGCGUGGGUAGCGAACAGGAUUAGAUACCCUGGUAGUCCACGCUGUAAACGGUGGGAACUAGGUGUGGGCAGCAUUCCACGUUGUCUGUGCCGUAGCUAACGCAUUAAGUUCCCCGCCUGGGGAGUACGGCCGCAAGGCUAAAACUCAAAGGAAUUGACGG